CUUACAUCUCAUAGCCCUAUAAAAUACUUAUUAAUUACAAUGAGAAAGAAGAAUACUUUUCAGUGGAAAAACCUUAACCAAGUGAUCAAAGUUCACAUCAUUUGUAAUGGGCCAAACUGACAUGUGUCUUCCCCAUACAAUGCAAAGAGGACACAGGCUUAUUUCUGUGACAUUUCUGCCAAAGAUGUGUAACCUCUAUCUAAUCAUAAGGAAAUA
rnacentral:lncRNA from 1 species